AUGUAUUUAUUUUGUCUUGCUUUAUAUUCUUUAUUUUUCAGUGCCAGUGCCUGCCAUCUUACAAACUUCCGCUCAUGUGUCAGCUGUUGCCAGUUAUCCUCCCUGCUUCACAGCAGCCAUCACCAGCCUGGCUUCAGUACUGCUAACUGGGACUCUGCAUUCAGGCGGUUCAUGGUCAAAAGUGAUGAAUGGCAUCGCGCAUGUACAGAAUGAAGAGAAGGGAGAGCAACGUGAAGGAGAUCCAGAAAGGAACUCAGCAGAACCACGGGCUUGUUCAUGAGGACCCUUACAGUGUCUGCUUUGCCAUUUCUUCCCUUUCCAUGGUCUUGACAACAGGCUCCUAGCUCCCCACGAUUUUGUUUGCUGCUGUGAUCAAGACAGAGAUAGCAGUGCUAUAA
ensembl:lncRNA